GGCCAGUUGGCUCAGUUGGGUUGAGCACGGUGCCAAUAGCAGCAAGGUUGUGGGUUCGAUUUCCAUACAGGCCA